rnacentral:lncRNA from 1 species
UUGAAAUAUUACACAAUCUUUUUCAACUGAUUUUUGAAUCGAGUUUAAUUCCGUCCGCCUGGAGAAAAUCCAUAAUUUGUCCUAUAUUAAAGGAUCCGUCGUCAGAUGCACGUAUUCCGAUGAAUUACAGAGGAGUCAGUCUAUUGUCAUGUGUAAGCAAACUCUAUAGCGCAUUUGUUAACAAGAGAUUAUCAAGUUUUCUAGAGACUGAAAAUAUUCUUGCAGAUGAACAGAAUGGG